GGUUAAGCGACUAAGCGUACACGGUGGAUGCCCUGGCAGUCAGAGGCGAUGAAGGACGUGCUAAUCUGCGAUAAGCGUCGGUGAGGUGAUAUGAACCGUUAUAACCGGCGAUUUCCGAAUGGGGAAACCCAGUGUGUUUCGACACACUAUCAUUAACUGAAUCCAUAGGUUAAUGAGGCGAACCGGGGGAACUGAAACAUCUAAGUACCCCGAGGAAAAGAAAUCAACCGAGAUUCCCCCAGUAGCGGCGAGCGAACGGGGAGGAGCCCAGAGCCUGAAUCAGUGUGUGUGUUAGUGGAAGCGUCUGGAAAGGCGCGCGAUACAGGGUGACAGCCCCGUACACAAAAAUGCACAUACUGUGAGCUCGAUGAGUAGGGCGGGACACGUGGUAUCCUGUCUGAAUAUGGGGGGACCAUCCUCCAAGGCUAAAUACUCCUGACUGACCGAUAGUGAACCAGUACCGUGAGGGAAAGGCGAAAAGAACCCCGGCGAGGGGAGUGAAAAAGAACCUGAAACCGUGUACGUACAAGCAGUGGGAGCCUCUUAAUGGGGUGACUGCGUACCUUUUGUAUAAUGGGUCAGCGACUUAUAUUCUGUAGCAAGGUUAACCGAAUAGGGGAGCCGAAGGGAAACCGAGUCUUAACUGGGCGUUAAGUUGCAGGGUAUAGACCCGAAACCCGGUGAUCUAGCCAUGGGCAGGUUGAAGGUUGGGUAACACUAACUGGAGGACCGAACCGACUAAUGUUGAAAAAUUAGCGGAUGACUUGUGGCUGGGGGUGAAAGGCCAAUCAAACCGGGAGAUAGCUGGUUCUCCCCGAAAGCUAUUUAGGUAGCGCCUCGUGAAUUCAUCUCCGGGGGUAGAGCACUGUUUCGGCAAGGGGGUCAUCCCGACUUACCAACCCGAUGCAAACUGCGAAUACCGGAGAAUGUUAUCACGGGAGACACACGGCGGGUGCUAACGUCCGUCGUGAAGAGGGAAACAACCCAGACCGCCAGCUAAGGUCCCAAAGUCAUGGUUAAGUGGGAAACGAUGUGGGAAGGCCCAGACAGCCAGGAUGUUGGCUUAGAAGCAGCCAUCAUUUAAAGAAAGCGUAAUAGCUCACUGGUCGAGUCGGCCUGCGCGGAAGAUGUAACGGGGCUA
rnacentral:rRNA from 1 species